UUUUCUGAGAAUUUGAUCUUGGUUCAGAUUGAACGCUGGCGGCGUGGAUGAGGCAUGCAAGUCGAACGGAAUAAUGACUUCGGUUGUUAUUUAGUGGCGGAAGGGUUAGUAAUACAUAGAUAAUCUGUCCUCAACUUGGGAAUAACGGUUGGAAACGACCGCUAAUACCGAAUGUGGUAUGUUUAGGCAUCUAAAACAUAUUAAAGAAGGGGAUCUUCGGACCUUUCGGUUGAGGGAGAGUCUAUGGGAUAUCAGCUUGUUGGUGGGGUAAUGGCCUACCAAGGCUUUGACGUCUAGGCGGAUUGAGAGAUUGACCGCCAACACUGGGACUGAGACACUGCCCAGACUUCUACGGAAGGCUGCAGUCGAGAAUCUUUCGCAAUGGACGAAAGUCUGACGAAGCGACGCCGCGUGUGUGAUGAAGGCUCUAGGGUUGUAAAGCACUUUCGCUUGGGAAUAAGAGAGAUUGGCUAAUAUCCAAUCGAUUUGAGCGUACCAGGUAAAGAAGCACCGGCUAACUCCGUGCCAGCAGCUGCGGUAAUACGGAGGGUGCUAGCGUUAAUCGGAUUUAUUGGGCGUAAAGGGCGUGUAGGCGGAAAGGAAAGUUAGAUGUUAAAUCUUGGGGCUCAACCCCAAGCCAGCAUCUAAUACUAUCUUUCUAGAGGGUAGAUGGAGAAAAGGGAAUUCCACGUGUAGCGGUGAAAUGCGUAGAUAUGUGGAAGAACACCAGUGGCGAAGGCGCUUUUCUAAUUUACACCUGACGCUAAGGCGCGAAAGCAAGGGGAGCAAACAGGAUUAGAUACCCUGGUAGUCCUUGCCGUAAACGAUGCAUACUUGAUGUGGAUAGUCUCAACCCUAUCCGUGUCGUAGCUAACGCGUUAAGUAUGCCGCCUGAGGAGUACACUCGCAAGGGUGAAACUCAAAAGAAUUGACGGGGGCCCGCACAAGCAGUGGAGCAUGUGGUUUAAUUCGAUGCAACGCGAAGAACCUUACCUGGGCUUGACAUGUAUUUGACCGCGGCAGAAAUGUCGUUUUCCGCAAGGACAGAUACACAGGUGCUGCAUGGCUGUCGUCAGCUCGUGCCGUGAGGUGUUGGGUUAAGUCCCGCAACGAGCGCAACCCUUAUCGUUAGUUGCCAACACUUAGGGUGGGAACUCUAACGAGACUGCCUGGGUUAACCAGGAGGAAGGCGAGGAUGACGUCAAGUCAGCAUGGCCCUUAUGCCCAGGGCUACACACGUGCUACAAUGGCCAGUACAGAAGGUAGCAAUAUCGUGAGAUGGAGCAAAUCCUCAAAGCUGGCCCCAGUUCGGAUUGUAGUCUGCAACUCGACUACAUGAAGUCGGAAUUGCUAGUAAUGGCGUGUCAGCUAUAACGCCGUGAAUACGUUCCCGGGCCUUGUACACACCGCCCGUCACAUCAUGGGAGUUGGUUUUGCCUUAAGUCGUUGACUCAACCUGCAAAGGAGAGAGGCGCCCAAGGUGAGGCUGAUGACUGGGAUGAAGUCGUAACAAGGUAGCCCUACCGGAAGGUGGGGCUGGAUCACCUCCUUU
rnacentral:rRNA from 13 species